UACGAAGGGGGCUAGCGUUGCUCGGAAUUACUGGGCGUAAAGGGUGCGUAGGCGGCGCGGUAAGUCGGGUGUGAAAUCUCGGGGCUUAACUCCGAAACUGCAUUCGAUACUGCCGUGCUUGAGGACUGGAGAGGAGACUGGAAUUUACGGUGUAGCGGUGAAAUGCGUAGAUAUCGUAAGGAAGACCAGUGGCGAAGGCGGGUCUCUGGACAGUUCCUGACGCUGAGGCACGAAGGUCAGGGGAGCAAACGGGA
rnacentral:rRNA from 1 species